AUCUUUUCCCACUUCUUCUUUUCUUCUCUCCUCCCAGAAUUAAAUGUAAAAGAAUCAGAUGCAAGAGUAUGCGAUGAAUCAUCAUGUAAAUAUGGGGGUGUUUGUAAGGAAGAAGGAGAGAGUUUGAAAUGUGCAUGCCAAUUUCAGUGUCACACAAAUUAUAUUCCUGUUUGUGGCUCAAACGGAGACACUUACCAAAAUGAAUGCUUCCUCAGGAGAGCUGCUUGCAAGCAUCAGAAAGAGAUAACAGUUGUCACGAGGGGACCUUGUUACUCAGACAAUGGCUCUGGUUCAGGAGAAGGAGGUAGGCAUUUCUGCUCUUUCUGCUCAUCAGUAUGAAUGCUGGAUUCUUGUUUCCAAAAGUGUUCUCUGAGAUGCCAUCCGGCAGUCCUGCCUUUGCUUUUGUCAGUGGG